rnacentral:lncRNA from 1 species
CAGGUUGGGGAUGCCUCAGACUUGUGAUGGGACUGGGCAGAUGCAUCUGGGAAGGUCCUGGUGGUGACUCCAACCCUGCCCUCACAUAUCCCAAGAGCAGGCUGACUGCCUUCCCCAUUCCCACCUUUCCAGUAACUGCUGCAAGAACGGACAGACACUGCUGCAGAGAACUUGCCACGGUGUUUCAUGCUGUGGCUGGUGGUUCCAGGCUGCACGCUCCAUUCUAGGAAAGGGCUGGACCUUGGAGAGUGAGGCCCUGAGGCGAGACAUGGGCACCUGGCUCCUGGCCUGCAUCUGC